AAUAUUCGACGUCAUAUUAUUGCCACAGCCGUACCACGUUCGAACGGUCAAGUCGAACGAUAUAAUCGAACCAUUUUAGAUGCGUUACGGAGUCUUAGCGCAGAUGCAAAUAACAAUAAAUGGGAUCAACAUGUAACCCAAAUACAACAAGGUAUAAACAGUACAAUAAACAAAAGUACUGCAGCAGUACCUAGUGAAGUAUUUUUUGGAUACAGAAUUCGGAUGAUGAAUGAUAGAAUUGCUGAUGAGGAUAAUACAGAAAAAUCGGUUGACGUGACAGCCUUGCGUGACAAAGUAGAUCAAAACAUUAAAAGAGCUGCUCAAGCACAAAAAGCAGCUUUCGACUCUAAAAGGAAAUUGGCUACUAAUUAUAAUAUUGGUGACUUGGUUGUGAUUAAAAUACCAAGUCACUCAAAUGACGGUCACAGCACAAAGUUAAUGCCAUUGUUUAAAGGACCUUUCCAAAUAACAGAAGUCCUAGGGCAUGACCGUUAUAAAGUAUCCGAUAUGAGAGGAGCGGAGCGGAGUACAAAACGUUAUGAUGGCGUAACCUGCGCAGAGAAUAUGAAGUUUUGGAUACGCAUUUCGGAUGAGGGCGAGGAGGAAGUUGCACCGGAUGUUGUCCAGUAAUCAGGUACUCAUUGAAACACAUCUUCCACAUUAGACCAAUACGAUGUCCGAGGACGACCACGUAUGCAGGACGGCCGGAUGUUGUCGCCACAGUCGUUUCCGCCCGGAAGUACAAUUUGCCGCCGCUAGAGGGCGACACCGAGACGUCAUUCGAACAACGAGCGGCCACUCGAUCAUUCCUUGUCGAAGCGUCGAGCUAGUAACACUCACCUUGUCUUGCUGAAAGCUAUUAUUAUUUUUAAAAAAACAAAGUACAAUUAUUAUUUUUAUAAGUGAAUUUUAUUUUAAAUUGGUAAUAUUGUAAAAGAGUAAAGUAUCAUUUCAAUUAUUAAUAAAUAUGAUUUCACUAUAGAAAAUUGAGCUAUAAUAAUUAUUACGAUGGUGAGAUUGUGUAGGUAAUGUAGCUAAAUAUUAAUAAAAGUGUUUUUGCAGAA